rnacentral:rRNA from 1 species
AACGAACGCUGGCGGCAUGCCUAACACAUGCAAGUCGAACGGGAUCCGGACUUCGGUCCGGUGAGAGUGGCGGACGGGUGAGUAACACGUGGGAACCUGCCUUUUGGUUCGGGAUAACCGCGGGAAACUGCGGCUAAUACCGGAUGCUCCCGAGGAGGGAAAAGAUUUAUCGCCAGAAGAGGGGCCCGCGUCCGAUUAGGUAGUUGGUGGGGUAAUGGCCUACCAAGCCGACGAUCGGUAGCUGGUCUGAGAGGAUGAUCAGCCACACUGGGACUGAGAUACGGCCCAGACUCCUACGGGAGGCAGCAGUGGGGAAUAUUGGACAAUGGGGGGCAACCCUGAUCCAGCAAUGCCGCGUGAGUGAUGAAGGCCUUAGGGUUGUAAAGCUCUUUUGCCAGGGAAGAUGAUGACUGUACCUGGAGAAUAAGCCCCGGCUAACUUCGUGCCAGCAGCCGCGGUAAU